rnacentral:rRNA from 1 species
AGCUCCAAAAGCAUAUAUUAAAGUUGUUGCGGUUAAAAAGCUCGUAGUUGGACUUCUGCUUUGGUUGGCUGGUCUACCCACUGGGUAAGUAUCUGGCAUGACUGAAGCAUGUGUUGCAAAUAUACUACUGCACUUGACUGUGUGGUGUGGUAUUUAUCGCUUUUACUUUGACAAAAAACAGAGUGUUCCACGCAGGCGGAUGUCUUGAAUAUGUGAGCAUGGAAUAAUGAGUCAAGGCUUUGGUUUGUUGUUGGUUCAAAACAUUGGGUAAUGAUGAAUAGGGAUAGUUGGGGGCACUUGUAUUUAAUUGUCAGAUGUGAAAUUCUUGGAUUUGUUAAAGACAAACCACUGCGAAAGCAUUUGCCAAAAAUGUUUUCAUUGAUCAAGAACGAAAGUACGC